CGGAUGCUUGCGGGCCCUUGUGGGGUACCAACAGCAGCCGAACUCCGAAUACCGUGGAUGUGUAUUCCGGCAGUGAGUCGGCGGGGGAUAAGCUCCGUCGUCGAGAGGGAGACAGCCCAGAUCGUCGUCUAAGGUCCCGAAGCGUGUGCUAAGUGGGAAAGGAUGUGGAGUCGCAUAGACAGCCAGGAGGUUGGCUCAGAAGCAGCCAUCCUUGAAAGAGUGCGUAACAGCUCACUGGUCUAGUGGUUCCGCGCCGACAAUGUAGCGGGGCUCAAGCACACCACCGAAGACGCGGCAGCGGCCUUUGCGGCCGUUGGGUAGGAGAGCGUCCCGCGUGGGGCGAAGCGGCCGGGGAACCGUGCCGUGGACCGCGCGGGAGUGAGAAUGCAGACAUGAGUAGCGAGAGACGGGUGAGGAUCCCGUCCGCUGGAUGACCAAGGGUUCCGGGGCCACGUUCGUCGUCCCCGGGUGAGGCGGGUCCUAAGGCGAGGCCGACAGGCGUAGUCGAAUGGAUGAACGGGUGGAUAUUCCCGUACCGGCGGCGUACCGUAAGAGCCGAACGGAUGAGUACUAACCUCCGGUCGCGUGGCGUCGUUCCCUUCGGGGUUCGGGGCGCGUGGCUGUUGGGAGCGUAGUCCUGGUAGGCUAGCGCACAGGGGUGACACGGAAUGGGAGCCGGCCGCGGAGGUGGUUUUCCGUGGUCAAGCACGCAGCCCGUCCCAUAGGCAAAUCCGUGGGGCACAUAGGGUGAGGUGUGAUGAUGGGCGUCCUUUGGACGCGAUAUCCGGUGGUCCAGGCCGUCGAGAAAAGCCUCGGCGCGAGGGGCGUCGCCGCCCGUACCCCAAACCGACACAGGUGGUCAGGUAGAGAAUACCAAGGCGAUCGAGCGAAUCCUGGUCAAGGAACUCGGCAAAUCACUCCCGUGCCUUCGGUAUAAGGGAGACCCCCGGGCGUGAAGAGGCUUGCCCUCGGAGCGUUGGGGGGUGGCACAGACCAGGGGGUAGCGACUGUUUACCAAAAACACAGGUGCAUGCGAAGGCGCAAGCCGCUGUAUAUGCACUGACGCCUGCCCGGUGCCGGAAGGUUAAGAGGAUCCGUCAGCCCCUUUGGGGUGAAGCGGUGAAUUCAAGCCCCGGUAAACGGCGGUGGUAACUAUAACCAUCCUAAGGUAGCGAAAUUCCUUGUCGGGUAAGUUCCGACCUGCACGAAUGGCGUA
rnacentral:rRNA from 1 species